GGUUUUUAUUAUAAAGGAUAAAAUCCUUGAAUUAAAACUAAAAGGACGCGGUAACCUUGACCGUGAUAAUGUAGCAUAAUCACUCGCCAUUUAAUUGAUGGAUAGUAUGAAUGGUUGAACGAAUAUUUCACUGUCUUAAAAAGAAUCAAAUAAAAUUAAAAUAAUAGUUAAGAUGCUAUUUUAAAUUGUAAGACGAAAAGACCCUAUAGAGCUUAACUAUAAUUUUCUUAUAAACUAAAAAAAAAAUAAAAUUUUUUUUUGCUUAAGAAAAUUGGUAGUUUAGUUGGGGCGACUACCUUCUAUAUUAAACGAAGGUAAGCAAAGUUAAUAAAAAACUUAUUAUAUAAAUAAAACAUUUAAUAAUUACAAAAGUAGGCUAUAAUGACCCGUUAAUAUUUAAUAAAAAAAUUAACGAUCAAUUAAUAAAAGCUACCUUAGGGAUAACAGGAUAAUUUCAUUCUAGAGCUCAUAUCGAAAAUGAAGUUUGUCACCUCUAUGUUGAAUUAA
rnacentral:rRNA from 1 species